UACGUAGGGCGCAAGCGUUAUCCGGAAUUAUUGGGCGUAAAGAGCUCGUAGGCGGUUUGUCGCGUCUGCCGUGAAAGUCCGGGGCUCAACUCCGGAUCUGCGGUGGGUACGGGCAGACUAGAGUGAUGUAGGGGAGACUGGAAUUCCUGGUGUAGCGGUGAAAUGCGCAGAUAUCAGGAGGAACACCGAUGGCGAAGGCAGGUCUCUGGGCCACUACUGACGCUGAGGAGCGAAAGCAUGGGGAGCGAACAGG
rnacentral:rRNA from 1 species